rnacentral:rRNA from 1 species
AGCGGCCGCGGUAAUUCCAGCUCCAAUAGCAUAUAUUAGUGUUGUUGCGGUUAAAAAGCUCGUAGUUGAAUUUCGGGAUUGGGAUAUAUCGGUCAUGGCUUUAGGGACAUGAAUCGGUGUGUGGUCAAUUCUCACCUUCUGGUGAAUCGGGAUGCUCUUGGGUGUUUCGAUGAACUAGGACUUUUACUUUGAAAAAAUUAGAGUGUUUAAAGUGGGCAUUUUUGCUUGAAUACAUUAGCAUGGAAUAAUAAAAUAGGACGAUGGUUCUAUUUUGUUGGUUUUAGGACCACGUAAUGAUUAAUAGGGAUAGUUGGGGGCAUUAGUAUUCAAUUGUCAGAGGUGAAAUUCUUGGAUUAAUUGAGGACUAACUACUGCGAAAGCAUUUGCCAAGGAUGUUUUCAUUAAUCAAGAACGAAAGUUAGGGGAUCGAAGACGAUUUAUGUACGUUGUAGUCUUAACCAUAAACUAUGCCGACUAGGAAUCAGACAAAGUUCAUUUUUUGAUGACUUGUUUGGUACCUUACG